rnacentral:piRNA from 1 species
UAUUUGAAUCAGACGACUGUA